GUCAGGAUGGCCGAGCGGUCUAAGGCGCCAGAUUUAAGCUCUGGUUCUCGAAAGAGAGCGUGGGUUCGAACCCUACUCCUGACA